AGGUGUGAGGAGGCGAACGGGCGGAGGGAUCAUUACAGAGUUCAUGCCCUUCGGGGUAGAUNUGCCCCCCGUGUCAUCACACCUGGGGGGUNUCGGCGGCCCCGCCUCGGCCACCGGCUCCGCCUGGUGAGCGCCCGCCAGAGGACUCCUAUGUGUGAAAAUAAGAAUUGUUUGAGUACUAUAUAAUAGGUNAUACUUUCUACAGCGGAUUUGAAGGNUCCGGCNUAGAUGAAGAACGCAGCGAAAUGCGAUAAGUAAUGAAUCAUGCAGAAUUCAGUGAAUCAUCGAAUCCCUGAACGCACAUUGGGGCCCUUGGUAUUCCGGGGGGCAUGCCUGUUCGAGCGUCAUUACAGCCCUCAAGCUCUCCUUGGUAUUGGGGGUGACCGGCGACGGGGCAGCUAAAAUCAGUGGCGGUGCCGUCGGGCUUAAAGCGUAGUAAAUCUCUCUCUGUGGAUGCCGGGUGGACGCUCGNCUNAACCCCCCAAAUUUACAGGUUGACCUCGGAUCAGGU
rnacentral:rRNA from 1 species